ACUCCGUCUAGCUUAGUCGGUAGAGCAUGAGACUCUUAAUCUCAGGGUCGUGGGUUCAAGCCCCAUGUUGAGUG